rnacentral:rRNA from 1 species
GUUGUAUGGUUAAGUGACUAAGCGUACACGGUGGAUGCCUGGGCAGUCAGAGGCGAUGAAGGACGUACUAACUUGCGAUAAGCGCAGAUAAGGCAGUAAGAGCCGUUUGAGUCUGCGAUUUCCGAAUGGGGAAACCCAACUGCAUAAGCAGUUACUGUUAACUGAAUACAUAGGUUAACAGAGCAAACCGGGGGAACUGAAACAUCUAAGUACCCCGAGGAGAAGAAAUCAACCGAGAUUCCGGUAGUAGCGGCGAGCGAACCUGGAUUAGCCCUUAAGCACUCGGUGAAGUAGGUGAACAAGCUGGAAAGCUUGGCGAUACAGGGUGAUAGCCCCGUAACCGACGCUUCAUCGAGCGUGAAAUCGAGUAGGGCGGGACACGUGAUAUCCUGUCUGAAUAUGGGGGGACCAUCCUCCAAGGCUAAAUACUCCUGACUGACCGAUAGUGAACCAGUACCGUGAGGGAAAGGCGAAAAGAACCCCUGUGAGGGGAGUGAAAUAGAACCUGAAACCGUGUACGUACAAGCAGUAGGAGCACCUUCGUGGUGUGACUGCGUACCUUUUGUAUAAUGGGUCAGCGACUUAUAUUCAGUGGCAAGGUUAACCGUAUAGGGGAGCCGUAGCGAAAGCGAGUCUUAACUGGGCGCUCAGUCUCUGGAUAUAGACCCGAAACCGGGUGAUCUAGCCAUGGGCAGGUUGAAGGUUGAGUAACAUCAACUGGAGGACCGAACCGACUAAUGUUGAAAAAUUAGCGGAUGACUUGUGGCUAGGGGUGAAAGGCCAAUCAAACUCGGAGAUAGCUGGUUCUCCCCGAAAGCUAUUUAGGUAGCGCCUCGGACGAAUACUACUGGGGGUAGAGCACUGUUAAGGCUAGGGGGUCAUCCCGACUUACCAACCCUUUGCAAACUCCGAAUACCAGUAAGUACUAUCCGGGAGACACACGGCGGGUGCUAACGUCCGUCGUGGAGAGGGAAACAACCCAGACCGCCAGCUAAGGUCCCAAAGUAUUGCUAAGUGGGAAACGAUGUGGGAAGGCUCAGACAGCUAGGAUGUUGGCUUAGAAGCAGCCAUCAUUUAAAGAAAGCGUAAUAGCUCACUAGUCGAGUCGGCCUGCGCGGAAGAUGUAACGGGGCUAAGCAAUACACCGAAGCUGCGGCAAUGUCUUUUAGAUAUUGGGUAGGGGAGCGUUCUGUAAGCCGUUGAAGGUGAAUCGUAAGGUUUGCUGGAGGUAUCAGAAGUGCGAAUGCUGACAUGAGUAACGACAAAGGGGGUGAAAAACCUCCUCGCCGGAAGACCAAGGGUUCCUGUCCAACGUUAAUCGGGGCAGGGUGAGUCGACCCCUAAGGUGAGGCCGAAAGGCGUAAUCGAUGGGAAACGGGUUAAUAUUCCCGUACUUCUGACUAUUGCGAUGGGGGGACGGAGAAGGCUAGGUGGGCCAGGCGACGGUUGUCCUGGUUCAAGUGCGUAGGCUUGAGAGUUAGGUAAAUCCGGCUCUCUCUAAGGCUGAGACACGACGUCGAGCUGCUACGGCAGUGAAGUCAUUGAUGCCAUGCUUCCAGGAAAAGCCUCUAAGCUUCAGAUAGUCAGGAAUCGUACCCCAAACCGACACAGGUGGUCGGGUAGAGAAUACCAAGGCGCUUGAGAGAACUCGGGUGAAGGAACUAGGCAAAAUGGUACCGUAACUUCGGGAGAAGGUACGCUCUUGAUGGUGAAGUCCCUCGCGGAUGGAGCUGACGAGAGUCGCAGAUACCAGGUGGCUGCAACUGUUUAUUAAAAACACAGCACUGUGCAAAAUCGCAAGAUGACGUAUACGGUGUGACGCCUGCCCGGUGCCGGAAGGUUAAUUGAUGGGGUUAGCGUAAGCGAAGCUCUUGAUCGAAGCCCCGGUAAACGGCGGCCGUAACUAUAACGGUCCUAAGGUAGCGAAAUUCCUUGUCGGGUAAGUUCCGACCUGCACGAAUGGCGUAAUGAUGGCCACGCUGUCUCCACCCGAGACUCAGUGAAAUUGAAAUCGCUGUGAAGAUGCAGUGUACCCGCGGCUAGACGGAAAGACCCCGUGAACCUUUACUACAGCUUGGCACUGAACAUUGAACCUACAUGUGUAGGAUAGGUGGGAGGCUA